GACGAACGCUGGCGGCGUGCCUAAUACAUGCAAGUCGAACGAGUGGCGGACGGGUGAGUAACACGUGGGAACCUACCCAUCAGGGGGGGAUAACUACUGGAAACGGUGGCUAAUACCGCAUACUAUCGGCUGAACCCAUAUGGGAUUAGCUAGUAGGUGGGGUAAAGGCUCACCUAGGCGACGAUCUCUAGCUGGUCUGAGAGGAUGAUCAGCCACACUGGGACUGAGACACGGCCCAGACUCCGACGGGAGGCAGCAGUGGGGAAUAUUGCACAAUGGGCGCAAGCCUGAUGCAGCCAUGCCGCGUGUAUGAAGAAGGCCUUAGGGUUGUAAAGUACUUUCAGCGGGGAGGCGUUACCCGCAGAAGAAGCACCGGCUAACUCCGUGCCAGCAGCCGCGGUAAUAC
rnacentral:rRNA from 1 species